rnacentral:rRNA from 1 species
ACGUAGGGUGCGAGCGUUAAUCGGAAUUACUGGGCGUAAAGCGUGCGCAGGCGGUUUUGUAAGACAGACGUGAAAUCCCCGGGCUUAACCUGGGAACUGCGUUUGUGACUGCAAGGCUAGAGUAUGGCAGAGGGGGGUAGAAUUCCACGUGUAGCAGUGAAAUGCGUAGAGAUGUGGAGGAAUACCGAUGGCGAAGGCAGCCCCCUGGGUCAAUACUGACGCUCAUGCACGAAAGCGUGGGGAGCAAACAGGAUUAGAUACCCUGGUAGUCCACGCCCUAAACGAUGUCAACUAGGUGUUGGGGGAGGAGACUUCCUUAGUACCGCAGCUAACGCGUGAAGUUGACCGCCUGGGGAGUACGGCCGCAAGGUUG